CCGGGGAAGAAAACGAGAUCAAUGAGUUUGCUAAAAAGAUCAUAAAUGAGGGAUUAAAAAAAUUCAGCAUGGUCCAUCGAAAGGACAUUAAGAAGAUAAAAAAGGAUCCAUAUAUUGAGUGGAAGCAACCUAAGUGUCCUCGACAACCUCAAUACUCCAAGGUUUGUGGAUACUAUGUUUGUCGCUAUAUGCUUGAGAUUAUACAGAAAAGGGUAUUGUGGGU